rnacentral:lncRNA from 7 species
CCGCGCUUGAUAUAUAGAAAUUUGAGAAGUACACGAGUUUAGCUCUAAAUUCGGGUGUGACACGACUCACGAGCGGUAUUGACGUGCAUAGUUCGGGACUGUCGGCUGAGGGCUGAGGCUGCCGAGCGUGCUCUGCUCCGCUCGACUGGCGACGCCGCGGCCGCCCUCUGCGCUGCCAAGGCUGGAACGGUGACAUGUGGGUCAGGGUGACCGCCCUUGUGCGUCAACUCAUGUGCCGUGGGUGGCUGACCACUUGUCCUCCGCUCGAAGCACGGCUACAGUCACGGCGCCGGCCAGAUAAUCCCCAAACGAAAAUAAAGUGCGCUUAGACUUGGCGUCGUCUUCUUCUCCUCCGAUCAUGUGGCUUGGAACGCGUCACCUCAAAUCUCUCCCUCCUGAUGCGGUUUUAUCCGAG